ensembl:lncRNA
GUUUAUACUUUUGUGGUAUCAGGUUGAUUGAAGAGGUCUACACCAUGUAAAUUGUAGUAAUUUAGAUUAAGAAUGCAUUGAGAUACUGAUCUGUAUUAUAAUCAUGAUUAAAAAAGUUAAUAGUAGAAUUAUGGGAUAAUUAUACUGAAUGUAAGUAAAUCUGCUAAUAUUGAUGUGUGUUAAAUUGAGGUUUUUACUUUGAGUGAUAAGACAAAUUUGAAUCACUGAGGAAUGCUAUUCUAAAUAUUGGUUGGAUAAAUAGUUGGGUUGUUACUUAUGAUUUGGAAUAUGAAUGAUUUCACUGCCCUAUGCUCUAUUCCUGAGUAUAUUUCUGAGCAUGAGGACUUAGAGUGAUGUCUGUCCUAUAUGUUUUGAUGGGGUCUGUGUUUAGAUACUGGUUCUCAUGUAACUUAGGGAGCAUUUCUAAAUAUGUUAUGUUUUUCUUUUCCUCAAAUGGAUUAUUCUGUGUUAUUAAACAUGUGCAAGUUUGUCUUGUAGAAUAAAGGUUGUAAACUUAGUUUCAGAAGGGAGAAAGCUUACAUAUAAGCUACGGUAUUUGACAUUGAGGGGAUUUGAAUUUUAUAUUGAGUAUGUAAUUAAUAUUCUGAUUCUUUAGAAGGGACAAUGUCCCUUGAGAGGGGAAUGUUGGGGAAUAAUCAGAAUUAGUUGGUAACAUAGGUAAGAUGUUUUAUAUUCAUCAUAUGUUUGUAAGUUACUUCUCAUCAGAAUGUUCUUUUUGUAUAAUACUGUGGCGGGGUCGCAGUAUCUGUUCUAUGUCAAGACUAAGUUGCUUGGGCCGGAGAGAGGGGAGAGGUCAAGCGUGUAUCUCUUGGCUCCCCAAUGUCUGUGUGCCAGUCAGUGUGUCUCUGUGAUCUUGUCAAGAUAGGAUGGAUUUGAUAUAUGGCUGUUGAUAUGGAGGAUUUGUUUAUGGUUCUGAGUUUGAGAAAAGAGCAUAGUUUAGGAGACAAAGCUGAACGAUAAAUUAUGUGUGUCUUUUGCUAUUAAAGGAUCUCAGCUGCAAUGUGUAAGGGACUCUCAGAGAAUUCAUUGAUAGACACUGAAUUGAUCUGAGAGUCACAGGGUUGUGAUAGAGCUCAUAUAAUUAAAGAUGGACUUUGAUAACUAACUCUGACUUGUGUGUGGUUUGCUCUCAUGAAAUUUCCACGACAUACUGUUGACUUGAAGAUUAAAAUAUCAGGAGGCAUAAAAUGUGAUGCAUUAAAUUAAAAGAAUUUCGAAUUUUAAGCUCAGCAAUGUUUGUAUUGUAUCGGUCU